UGAAUAUGAACCUGGGCUAUUAUAGUUAUGUUCUUGAAACCCAAAGAAUUUGGCGGUAUUUUAUCCUUUUUGGAGGAACCUGUCCUGUAAUUGAUAAUCCACGAUAGGAUUUACUUAUUUUUGUUUUCAUUUUGUAUACCUCCGUCAUCAGAGUAUCCUUUUAGGGUUAAAUACUCUUAAUAUAUAAAAUAUUUUAUGUCAGGUCAAGGUGCAAUUUAUAAGUAAGUAGAGAUGGGUUACAAUAAAUUUAUUUAUACGGAUUAUUAAUUUUAAUGUUAAUAUAAAGGUGGAUUCAAAAGUAAAAAUAAUUUAUUUGUCAUUUUGACUAUAGCUCUAAAAUAUGCACACAUCGCCCGUCGCUCUUAUUUUAAAAUAAGAUAAGUCGUAACAUAGUAGGUGUACCGGAAGGUGCUCCU
rnacentral:rRNA from 1 species